UUUUGUAUAACUGUAACUUCAGCGCCGAACUAGAGUUAUUUCUGGUGCUAUCGUUAAGGCUUAAAAUGGUGGAUGAACUAUGAAAAUGGUAGAUGAACUAUAUUUUGAAUCUCCGUGGUGGAAAUCCUGACUUCACCAAUAGAUGUGCCAAUCCAACUCAAAUGGUAGAUGAACUAUAAAGAUUUACUAUCCACUAUAGUCAAAGUGAAAAUGUGUAAACCAUAAAACAAAUUACAUGAAAGUCGAAAUCUAUAUUAGGCCGAACCGAACUAGAGAAGUAGUUCGAAAAAAGAAAUUAGUGCUUCCACAACGAUUUCUUCUUCUUCUUCUUUUCUCUCAAACAUCGUCAGUGAACCCCAUUUAUGGGGAAAUGUGGAGAUUCUUGAAGUUCAACCAUGACUUACUCGGCAAUAGACACAUUCUAUCUAGUGGAGAAGCAGCUUAUAAACUCGUCUUCUAGGAAAGAUGGAAUUGAUGAAGUUACUGAAACAGCACUUCGAAUCUAUGGUUGUGAUCUCAUCCAAGAAAGUGGGAUUUUGCUCAGAUUACCUCAAGCUGUAAUGGCCACUGGUCAAGUAUUAUUUGCCCAUUUUAAUGUGAAUAGUGUUGCAGCUAGUUGUGUUUGGCUUGCAUCAAAACUCAAAGAAGCCCGAGAAAAGCAACGCAGGUGUUUGUUGUUUUCCACAGAAUGGAAUAUAGGAGAGAAAACUUACCUAUAGAAUAUCUGGAUACAUCUUCGAAGAAAUAUAUUGAUUUGAAAGCAGACCUAAUCAGAACAGAGAGGCAUCUUUUAAAAGAGAUGGGUUUUAUCUGCCAUGUCGAGCAUCCUCAUAAAUUUAUAUCAAACUACCUUGCAACUCUUGAAACACCUGCAGAAUUGAGACAAGAAGCUUGGAACCUUGCAAAUGACAGUUUGCGCACAACACUCAGUGUAAGAUCAAGAGUGAGGUUGUGGCCUGUGGAGUUGUAUAUGCUGCAGCCCGUAGAUUUCAAGUGACCCUCCCAGAGAAUCCUCCUUGGUGAAGGCAUUUGAUGCGGCAUUUGAUGCAGACAAGGCUGAUAUUGGUGAUGUUUGCGGAGUUCUCGCUCAUCUUUACAGCCUUCCAAAGGCGCAAUGCAUUCCUGUGUGCGAGGAAGGAGGCCCCUUUGCUUCAUCAAACAGAUCAAGGUUUGUUGGAUGUUCCACCAAUGUAGUAAUAAAAGGUUUGUUGGAUGUUCCAACAGUGGAUGAAGAUACUGAGGAAGUUGCUAAGGAUGUAGUAAUAAAAGCUGCCCUCGAUAAGUUAAAAAGACUCAAAGAGCGAUGAUGACUCUAAAAGCAUGCCUUCAAAAGGGGAGUCAAAAGAAGACCCUGGAAGAGCUGACAAUAGAACAGAUGCCGCUGGAGGAAAGAAGAAGGAGAGAGAGAGAGAGGACAAGGAAAGACUAAAGUCCCGUGAAUGUGGUUGGGGAAGGAAAUCUGACAGGGAAAGGGAGCGAGGGACGGAGAAAAAUCCAAGGAAAGGAAUCAUCAUUCAAGAGACGAAGGUCACUCAGUGAAACCAAAACAUCACUCUUCUCGAGAUUGUGAUUACCAGUCUUAUCCAUCACAGGAGAAGGAUCUUCGUACACACCAUUAGCUUUGAGAGCGGCCUGGCAAAAUGUUACCAUGCCAAAUAUGUUUGUGGUUUUUCUGGAGCAUAGCUGCAGCUCUUUGCAUAUAUCUGAGAGUGCCUUCUUCGUGAAACAUUGGUUUUACCUCGCCUAUAUAUAUCAUCUAAGGUCUCCUGUAGUCGAGACAUUGGUUUUACCUAUUUGCUUUUACUUCCCCUGAACAAGUGACUUACCUUUGCUGUCCAAAUUGCUUGUAGACUAAAGCAAGAUUGUUAACUUUCUGCACUACAGUUAUAUACUUACGUGACUGGGAAAAAAAGCGUAUGCCAUAGUUUACUAAUAUACAUGUUACUUUAGCUUAUGACUUAACCAUGGUAUAGUUGUAUGAUUUUGUGUAAACGCGGGAUGCAGGUAAGAUUUUUUUGAUUAUUUUAGGUGGGAUGAAAGCGGAUUUUUCAUAGAGUGGGACUCCUCUUUGCACUACUUAUACCCUACCUAUGUUUCUUUUUUCUUAAACAUAUGCAUAUGAAAAUUUAAUAACCUCUGAACAUUUACAUU